ACGGUCCUGUGGUCAGAGCUGUCCCACCAGCUGAGAUUAGGUGGACUGUUAUGUCAGAGAGGCCUACACUAUCGUAUUAUUAGAAACAAGCUGCAAUUUGGGGUUAGUUUUUACCCUAAGUAAUACAGGAGGAUUUUAGACAUUUUUUGUUGGGAUAGUCACUGGUUUCCAGGUAGCUUCAGAAAACAGGCAUGGAGGACGUCCAGAACAAGAAAUCUGAGGCACAAACUACUGGGAGACGCAGGUGCUGAGCUCUGCCUCUUCCUGAAGAUCCUCUGUCUUGGCCUUCAAGCUUUCAUGAUUACCACACCCUCCCCAGCCUUCUCAGCCCUUCCACCAUGUGAGUAUAUGAGAGAAGUUUGCAACCUAGAAGGAGCCCUCACUCGACCACGCUGGCACUCUGAUCUUGGACUUCCAGCCUUCAGAACUGGGUUUCAACAGGGAAAUAGUGGCUACUCCUCUCAAAAAAUGGAAAGCAAAUGCAUAGAAAAUGAGAAUGCCUCUCAUAUCCUGCCUGCUCCUCAGAAGUCAGAUGCUGAACAUUUUGUGAUGUUAACUAAGAGACAGAAGAAUAAGAGAACAAAUGGCAACUCUUCUUGGUGACUCCUGGACAGCGUAGAACAUCUCAGUGGUCCUUUAUGCUGCUUAGUUGGAUAACUCACUUUCUACACAUUUCUAUGUUGAUAACUCUUACAUUUAUAUUUUCAUCCUGACUGCUUACCAGAGUUUUAGUCCCAUUGUGGGACUUUGUAAAGCCCAUUGGUAUUCGUAUGUCCCAGUGUCACAUGGAGCUCAACAGACGUAGAAUUAAACUCAGUUUGGUUCCCAGUGUCUCCUGUUUGUGGUGUUUACUUCCCUCCAAAUCAAAGGCUUUGCCCAUGUCUUUCCCAGAUCUGGGUGCCUCUCUUUCUGCUGGGCUCAGGUCUCCUGUUAUUAACAGUUUCACCAUUGUCGAAGUUCUCCAGGUUCAAAGCCCUGAAGGCGUUUCUAACAGAUUGCUCUCCUUCAUGCUUCGUAAUGAGUAAGUUCUUGAAAUUUUUCCUUUAGACUGAGAGCUGUUGAUGUUAUUUCCUUUCUAUCUCAUAGUCAUCAGACAACCGCAGACACUUGUCAAGUCUUGCCUGAACUAAUGCAGCAGCUUUCUAGCAGCGUUCCUGGCCACCUCUUCCCUUUCUCAAAUUCUGCUGCUAAACGAAUACUUAUAAGACAUCUACUCCCCUGCUGAGAAGCCUGUGAAGGCUCCUGAUCUCCCAACAUUGUGCCUAAGCUCUGCUGGCUGUGUCUCCCUCGUCUUUACCAUGACUCCAGCGUCUCCUUGCUCCUUAGUCUAGCCUGUCUUUGCAUUCUCCUUGAUUGUACUUCUCAACUUCCCACUGUGGCCCUUUCUCUCCUAUUCACCUCCCCAAAUCCUAACCACUUUUCAGCCUCUUCCCUGCAAGAUUCUUUUGCUUGUUUUCAUCCACUUCGAAUUCCCUUUCCUUUGAACUCCUAAAUCACGUCUUAUCUUUAGAUUGGAUGAUCAUCUUGGCAGCUUUGGUAGAACAGAAAGAACUUUGGAUUGGAGUCAGAUAAACUUGGCUCCUGAACAGGUCUCAAUAAUGCACUCUAGACCUGGAGCCAGUCAUUUUUACCUCUCUGAGUCUUGCUUUUUUUAAAUAAAAUGGAGAUAUUAAUACAUGAGAUGGACAGUGACAACAAAUGUGAAAGUACUGGCAUGCAAUCAGAUCUUCGAUGUUAGUUGAAUUUGAUUCUUUAAAAUUAUUUUUAAACACUUUAUAUCUGUUUGUCUGUCUUCUUCGUUUGGCUCCUGGAGAGCAAGUACUGUGUUUUACAUCCCUUUCUCCCACAAAAGACCUGGGCAUUGUUAUGUAAAAAUUUGCUGCCAAA
ensembl:lncRNA